rnacentral:rRNA from 1 species
AAUCAACGCUGGCGGCGCGCUUAACACAUGCAAGUCGCACGAGAAAGGGAGCAAUCCUGAGUAAAGUGGCGUACGGGUGAGGAACACGUGGGAAUCUACCUCUUGGCGGGGAAUAACCCUGGGAAACCGGGGCUAAUACCGCAUAAGCGCGUGAGAGGAAAGCAGCAAUGCACCGAGAGAGGAGCCCGCGGCCGAUUCGCCAGUUGGUGGGGUAAUGGCUCACCAAGGCGAAGAUCGCUAGCCGGCCUGAGAGGGCACACGGCCACACUGGCACUGAAACACGGGCCAGACUCCUACGGGAGGCAGCAGUGGGGAAUCUUGCACAAUGGGGGAAACCCUGAUGCAGCGCCGCCGCGUGAGCGAUGAAGCCCUUCGGGGUGUAAAGCUCUUUCGACAGGAACGAUAAUGACGGUACCUGGAGAAGAAGCUGCGGCUAACUACGUG